UGAUGCUUAUGUGUGCUUGUGUGCCCGUUGUGUUUCAGACAAGCUGAGAUGCAAGGUGCUAGGAGCUCUAUGGAGUCAGAUCCAUCUGAGUGGGAAAGUGAGCCUUUUCCCCUUGCGAGGUCAGGUGGAGAUGACAGAGCAAGAGACCCUGAAAGGUCUGUUGAAGUCAGCAGAGAAGUUAUGGUGCAGAGGAGGGAUGUAGGUCUGCAAGUGAAUAUGGAUGAAGAAAGUAUGGGAGAGUCUAAGAGUUCAAGUUCAGGAGAAGUUGAUCCCUCCAUGAUGAGUACAGCUACCAAGAGAGGUAGACGGGGGAGAAGAACCCCUAAGCAAUGGGGCAGAACUAGAAAGGGUAGGCUAUGGAAGAGGUUUAGGCUAGAUGCUGAGGAUGGUUCGAGUUCUGGCC
rnacentral:lncRNA from 1 species